rnacentral:sRNA from 1 species
CUCCGUUUAUGGUAUCAUAUUAAAAGAGCAUCGUCUGCUCGUAUAAACGGGUAUGAAAUUCCGAAAUAUAGAUGUGUGGGCCCUGUGCAACAAGACCCCGUGAACCAUGUCAGGCGGGAGACCGAGCAGCAUUAAGCGGUGCGUGUUGUGUGCCGCAGCAAGCCUGCACAUCUAUGUUCCGGAAUUUUUCUUUAACAGGG